UUCGCAAUGCCCGAAAGGGUGAACGAGCGACGCCGCGUGCGGGAUGAAGGGUUUCGGCUUGUAAACCGCUUUUCUUUGGGAAGAAGGUCUGUCUCGUGCAGAUGGGCUCGACGGUACCAGAGGAAUAAGCCUCGGCUAACUCCGUGCCAGCAGCCGCGGUAAGACGGAGGAGGCAAGCGUUGUUCGGAAUUAUUGGGCGUAAAGGGCGCGUAGGCGGUUGAGCAAGUCCAUUGUGAAAUCCCCCGGCUUAACCGGGGAACUGCAGUGGAUACUACUUGACUUGAGUGCAGGAGGGGAGAGUGGAAUUCCAGGUGGAGCGGUGAAAUGCGUAGAUAUCUGGAGGAACGCCGGUGGCGAAAGCGACUCUCUGGUCUGUAACUGACGCUGAGGUGCGAAAGCUAGGGGAGCAAACGGGAUUAGAUACCCCGGUAGUCCUAGCCCUAAACGAUGGGCACUAAGUAGAGGGGUUUU
rnacentral:rRNA from 1 species